UUGAAAGGGAAACGAUUGAAGUCAGUCGUACCGACGAGGAUCAACCUUUGAAAGCGGGUCGAGGUAUUCGAGGAGUUUAAAAGCCCUCUUGCGCUCACGUACUUCGUUUUCUUUGGUGCACUUCUUCGUAUGGUAGGUUAACAUCAAUUUUGGACGUUACAAAAUGAUCGGGGGAAUGUAGCUUCGAUUUUUUCGAAGUGUUAUAGACCUUGGUAGAUGUGACGACCGGGAUUGAGGAUUGCAACGAAUGCUUUCGGGCUAUCCGUCUGACCUCUGGUGGUUGCUUUAGGGUCGAAAGCGUGCUUACGACUUUAAAGUUGGCUAUCAAAAGGCUAGAACGGGUUAAAUUCGUUAAGGAUGUUGACGUA
rnacentral:rRNA from 1 species